UGAUGCGAUCAUACCAGCACUAAAGCACCGGAUCCCAUCAGAACUCCGAAGUUAAGCAUGCUUGGGCGAGAGUAGUACUAGGAUGGGUGACCUCCUGGGAAGUCCUCGUGUUGCAUUUC
rnacentral:rRNA from 1 species